GCCGGGCGUGGUGACGCAAGCCUGUAAUCCCAGUGGCUCAGGAGGCUAAGACAGGAGGAUUGUGAGUUCAAAGUUAGCCUCAGCAACUAGUGAGGCACUAAGCAACUCAGUGAGACCCUGUCUCUA
rnacentral:sRNA from 1 species